rnacentral:tRNA from 1 species
GAGCUAUCGGCUGUUAACCGAUCGGUCGCAGGUUCAUCUGACUUUUAAUCAGAGGGUCGAAGGUUCGAGUCCUUCAUGGCUCACCA